GUUAUAUAUGUUAAAUGGGGAUUAGGGUUAUCCUAAUAAUCCCCAUUUAACCUAUCUUCUCCUACACUUUACCCGUCGUACGCCUCUUCUAACCCUACCUCAUUUUCCGACCAAAAUUCUCCGUUUUCCUCUCAUUUUCCGUUCCAUUUUCCUCUCAUUAACUUCCCAUUUUUCUCUGAUUAUCUUCCUUUCACCGAUCUUUUCUCCCUUCCUCUUCAAGUUCAUUUACAUUUCCUUCAUCUCCUUUUCAAAGCAUCUGUCUGUGUUAUUCGUGUUCCAUUUUUUGCCCUACUCUCUUCGAAACGCUCUCAUCCUCUCUAUUUUGCGUUUCGUUGAUCGAUUGCCAUGAACGUGCGUGACCUCCGAAACGUUUCUCAUCCUCUCUCCAUAUUUCCAUACCCUUCGUCUGCCGAAGAAUAACCCUUGUCGCUCCCUGCUCUUGUUGGUCUUAGAAUGAGUUUACUGCACUUUUCUUGUAACAGACAGCCACAUUGUCAUACAUGCUACACUAAAUCGGUGAAAGGAAGUCGAGUAGGGACAUGGCGGAGCAUGGCAGGGGUUCUCGGUCUGCACCAAAGGAAUUUCUUAACUAUGAGGCUACUUCCUUUCACAUACAUUAUGUACUAACACUUUUAUUUUUUGUACGGUUCCAUGGAUUUGUAAGGUUUCAUUUAUGGUUAAGGUUUUCGUACUUAAAGCAUUCCUAAAUGAGGUACUACGACUAUAAACCUCAUUCAUUUAUGAAGUCGAUCUAUAUAUGGUCUACUUAAUUGUUUUUGUAAUUAAUUCUUUUCUUUCGUUAUUAUUCAUUUAUGUUUGUUGUAUGAAAUGCUUCGAAUUCUAGCUUGUAAAUCGUAUUUUUUUUACUAUGUUAAAUGAUACUUU